rnacentral:rRNA from 1 species
GUCUACGGCCGUGCCACCCUGAACAAGCCUGAUCCUGUCUGAUUUCGGGAGUUAAGCAGGGUCGGGCCUGGUUAGUACUUGGAUGGGAUACUACUUGGAAGACCAGGUGCUGGAGGCA